CGACACAGUUGCGCAAAUUACGCAAACGUUCCAAAUAUCCAUCUGUUAGUUCGGUAGGUUUCAUAUGAAAUACAGCCUGAUUACACAGUAGCCUAAAGAAAAUAGACAAACUGUACCCCGAAAUUCCUCCAUCGCAAAUGAGCUUUCGUUUACAACACGUCAACCAAUCUCAACAGCCGCAGUGAGUGACAGCGCGUUUUACUUCCCCACUCUGCACAAGGGAGCUGUAGUUCAGGAGCAAUAGUUAUAAUCACAGAGUUUCUAAACUAUAUAUUUGGUUCUAUUCCUUUCAGGAUAUGUUGUUCUCUCAAGAACUGUAUUUACCAAGCCAACUGUUUAUUGUUGUUACAGUAGCAGGCAGCAAAGUUUUAGUUGACAGGCGGUUGUGUGCAUCUCUUUAUUUCAAUCACAUCUCUGAGGAUAGGCAGCACUGAAGCCAUUGGUGGCAAAUUGCAUACCAACAUUAGCUUGAUAAAGGGAGGGUGCAGAAAUUGAUCUGCGAUGUGCAGUGGAAUGAGGAGUGGCUCCAAGAGAAUAGGAUUAAGAAGGACCUGCUGGACUACAUGCAUCAGCUGGAGCAGAGGCUGGAAGUGGCUACAGACAAUAAGAGGAAGGAAGUGGCUCUCUACUACUCAACCAGUGAAUGAUAUCAAUACCACAGAGGCUUAUGUACAGACCCAAAGCCAGGCACUCACAGUAUACAUUCUAGUCAUAUACAGUAUAGCACAUACGUCAUCACAUUCUUGGAUGCACACAAACUCAUAUUUAAAGAGACACCCUGUCUUCCUUUGCAGCUCGUGGCGAUGACUCCUAAUAUGACAAAUCGUCUGAGGAUGAGAAACCCUCUACCAGACACCCAGACUACCCUACUGGAAUGACGCCCUGGAACGCUCCUCUCACCGGAAUGUCGAGUGUCCCCAGACAGACAGAUGAGGAGGAGCACAAGACCAGUAAGGGUGAAGACCAACCACUGAUUCUGCCAGACCACAUCAACCCAAUCAUAAGGCACACCCCUCCUCCCCGUCUCAUCAACCAUGGCCAUCCGGCGUACACAGUGAGAUGCCUCUUGAGUCUUUGACCUCGGGGCAGGGGUUUCCAGUACCUGGUUGACUGGGAUGGUCAUGGCCCAGAGGAGAGGUGCUGGUCCCCGCUAAGGACAUCCUGGACCCGGCCCUCAUCGCCGACUUUCACCGCCGGCACCCCGGUCAACCAGGUAUUCGCCCAGUCUCUGUUUUUCUAGCCCUUCCGGUUCCGACCCGUUCUGCCUGACCUAACACUGAGGCCGCCUGCCUGACCAUUCAGCCUGCCCUGACCUCGAGCCUGCUUGCCCCCACUGUACCUUUCGGACUCUGACCUGGUUUAUGAACUUCUGCCUGUCUCUGACCUGGUUUAUGAACUUCUGCCUGCCCAUUGCCCGCCCCUUGUAAUUCAAUAAAUAUC
rnacentral:lncRNA from 1 species